AUGCCCUCAUUUACAGCAUUAUUCACGUUCAAAGCCUUUCUCGAGUAGGAGUGGAGAUAGAUCCCCAGGAGUCUCAGAAUAACACUCUGUACGGCAAUGUGCACAUUCAAAGACCUCCCUGCAAAGAGGAGGAGACUGAUCCCCAGGAGUCUCAGAAUAACACUCUGUACAGCAAUGUGAACAUUCAAAGACCUCCCUGCAAAGAGGAGGAGACUG